rnacentral:rRNA from 1 species
UACGAAGGGGGCUAGCGUUGCUCGGAAUCACUGGGCGUAAAGGGUGCGUAGGCGGGUCUUUAAGUCAGGGGUGAAAUCCUGGAGCUCAACUCCAGAACUGCCUUUGAUACUGAGGAUCUUGAGUUCGGGAGAGGUGAGUGGAACUGCGAGUGUAGAGGUGAAAAUUCGUAGAUAUUCGCGAAGAAACACCAGUGGCGAAGGCGGCUCACCUGGCCCGAUACUGACGCUGAGGCACGAAAGCGUGGGGAGCAAACAGGG